AACGAACGCUGGCGGCAUGCCUAACACAUGCAAGUCGAACGAGACCUUCGGGUCUAGUGGCGCACGGGUGCGUAACGCGUGGGAACCUUCCCUUAGGGUCGGAAUAACUCCCCGAAAGGGGUGCUAAUACCGGAUAAUGUCUUCGGACCAAAGAUUUAUCGCCUUUGGAUGGGCCCGCGUUGGAUUAGCUAGUUGGUAGGGUAAAAGCCUACCAAGGCGACGAUCCAUAGCUGGUCUGAGAGGAUGAUCAGCCACACUGGGACUGGGACACGGCCCAGACUCCUGCGGGAGGCAGCAGUGGGGAAUAUUGGACAAUGGGCGAAAGCCUGAUCCAGCAAUGCCGCGUGAGUGAUGAAGGACUUAGGGUUGUAAAGCUCUUUUAACCGGGAUGAUAAUGACAGUACCGGGAGAAUAAGCUCCGGCUAACUCCGUG
rnacentral:rRNA from 1 species